rnacentral:rRNA from 1 species
CAACUUUUAACAAUGGAUCUCUUGGUUCUCGCAUCGAUGAAGAACGUAGCAAAGUGCGAUAACUAGUGUGAAUUGCAUAUUCAGUGAAUCAUCGAGUCUUUGAACGCAGCUUGCCUCUUAUGGUUUUUCUAUAGAGACGCCUGCUUCAGUAUCAUC